rnacentral:rRNA from 1 species
AUACGGAGGGUGCAAGCGUUGUUCGGAAUUACUGGGCGUAAAGCGCGCGUAGGCGGUCUGUUAUGUCAGAUGUGAAAGUCCAUGGCUCAACCAUGGAAGUGCAUUUGAAACUGGCAGACUUGAGUACUGGAGGGGGUGGUGGAAUUCCCGGUGUAGAGGUGAAAUUCGUAGAUAUCGGGAGGAAUACCGGUGGCGAAGGCGACCACCUGGCCAGAUACUGACGCUGAGGAGCGAAAGCUAGGGGAGCAAACGGGAUUAGAUACCCCUGUAGUCC